UACGAAGGGGGCGAGCGUUGUUCGGAUUUACUGGGCGUAAAGGACGCGUAGGUGGCGGGACAAGCGUGCGGUGAAAGCUCGGGGCUCAACCCCGAGUCGGCCGUGCGAACUGUUUGCUGGAGCACUGUAGAGGCAGGCGGAAUUCCGGGUGUAGCGGUGGAAUGCGUAGAGAUCCGGAAGAACACCGGUGGCGAAGGCGGCCUGCUGGGCAGUUGCUGACACUGAGGCGCGACGAGCGUGGGAGCAAACAGG
rnacentral:rRNA from 1 species